AAGGUUCGUCCGCCCUGGGUUAGUCGGGACCUAAGCUGAGGCCGAAAGGCGUAGGUGAUGGACAACAGGUUGAUAUUCCUGUACUACCGAUAACCGUUUGAGAGAUGGGAUGACACAGUAGGAUAAGCUAAGCACACUGUUGGUUAUGUGUGCCCAAGCAUUGAGGCAGUCAAAGUAGGUAAAUCCGCUUUGAUAAUGCUGGGAUGUGAUGGGGAGCGAAAUUUAGUAGCGAAGUAGCUGAUUUCACACUGUCAAGAAAAGUCUCUAUCGAGGUUAAAGG
rnacentral:rRNA from 1 species